rnacentral:rRNA from 1 species
UAUGUGAUCGUCUCUCGCAUAUCAAUAAGCGGAGGAAAAGAAACUAACAAGGAUUCCCCUAGUAACGGCGAGUGAAGCGGGAAGAGCUCAAAUUUGAAAUCUUAAAGGGUUUCCCUUUACGAAUUGUAGUUUAAAGAAGUGUUUUCUGUCGAGGUUUUGGUAAAAGUUCUUUGGAAUAGGACAUCAUAGAGGGUGAGAAUCCCGUAUUUGACCUUUACUUUCAACUUUGUGAUACACUUUCAAAGAGUCGGAUUGUUUGGGAAUGCAGUCCAAAAUGGGUGGUAAAUUUCAUCUAAAGCUAAAUAUUGGCGAGAGACCGAUAGCGAACAAGUACCGUGAGGGAAAGAUGAAAAGAACUUUGAAAAGAGAGUUAAACAGUACGUGAAAUUGUCAAAAGGGAAGCGUUUGACACCAGUGUUGUUUUUCUGAAAAUCAAUUAAAGAACUGUUUAUGCUAAGCUGUUUAGACUUUAUCAGCUAAUCUGUUUAGUUUUGAGCUUUUCUUUAAUGCACUUUUCAGUUAACAAGUCAACAUCAAUUUCUUUUGCUGUAAAAAAGCUUGAGGAAGGUGGCUUGAGAUUCGUCUUAAGUGUUUAUAGCCUCUUGCCUAUGCAGUCGGAGAGAUUGAGGUCUGCAGCGUAGAUCCUUCGGGGCUAAAUGCAUUUGUGCUAAGUUAUAGCAUUUUAUAGACAACUUGUUGACUAUGAUUUGUCUUGUAGCUUACUCGCUUAUGUUAUUUUACCUACGCUUAGGAUGUUGAUCUCUCACAGUCGAGC